GAUGAACGCUGGCGGCGUGCCUCAAACAUGCAAGUCGAGCGGGGCUAUGUAAUAUCGCAAGGUAGAACAUAGCCUAGCGGCGAACGGGUGAGUAACACGUGGGUAACCUGCCUGGAAGACAGGGAUAACGAUUCGAAAGGGUCGCUAAUACCUGAUAAUAUCCUUUCAUCGCAUGGUGAUAGGAAGAAAGGGGAAACCCGCUUUCAGAUGGGCCCGCGUCCCAUCAGCUAGUUGGUAAGGUAAAGGCUUACCAAGGCGACGACGGGUAGCCGGUCUGAGAGGAUGUACGGCCACACUGGGACUGAGAUACGGCCCAGACUCCUACGGGAGGCAGCAGUUGGGAAUCUUAGGCAAUGGACGAAAGUCUGACCUAGCGACGCCGCGUGAGGGAAGAAGGGCCUUCGGGUUGUAAACCUCUGUCAUGGGGAAGAAGUAAGUGACGGUACCCCAAGAGGAAGCCCCUGCUAACUACGUG
rnacentral:rRNA from 1 species